rnacentral:tRNA from 1 species
GCAUUGGUGGUUCAGUGGUAGAAUUCUUGCCUGCCACGCGGGAGACCCGGGUCCUAUUUCCGGCCAGUGCA